rnacentral:lncRNA from 1 species
GUCCGACCGCAGUGUUGUUAACCGCCUCCAGCUCUGUCCGAUCGCAAUGUUGUUAACUUCCUCCAGCUUUGCCCAUGGCCUGACUGGAACCCUAAAUGCAUCUAGCUCCGCCCAUGGCCUUAUUGGAAGCCCUCUUUUCCAGCUCCUCUUGUGGGCUGACCCUUAAUGCUGUUGAAACCCCCCUAACUCUAGAUCCCUUCCCCCUCUCUCGAUGCUGUUGUCGAAACCCUAACCCUNNN